ensembl:snRNA U2 U2 spliceosomal RNA
AUCGCUUCUCAGCCUUUUGGCUAAGAUCAAGUGUAAUAACUCUAAUUCUCAAAUAAAUAAACAAAUAUUUUAAAAAAACAGGUCAUCAUAU